CCUGCCCAGUGAAGUUUAAACGGCCGCGGUACUCUGACCGUGCAAAGGUAGCAUAAUCAUUUGCCUUAUAAUUGAAGGCUGGAAUGAAUGGUUUGACAAGAAUACACCUGUCUCUUUUAGAUUAUUUAGAAUUUUAUCUUUGGGUGAAAAAGCCCAGAUCUUAUUAAAAGACAAGAAGACCCUAUCGAGCUUCAGAAAAAUUAAUAGAGAUUAUAUUUAAUAUUAAUUAAAAGAAAAGCUAUUGAAUACUUUGGUUGGGGCAACCGAGGAGUAAAUAAAGCCUCCUUUAAAUAAGAAGUCUUACUUGUGAAGAUCCAAGAAUUUUGAUCAAAGAAAUUAGUUACCGUAGGGAUAACAGCAUUAUCUUUUUUGAGAGCCCAUAUCGAAAAAAAGGUUUGUGACCUCGAUGUUGGACCAGAAUAUCCUAAAGAUGCAGAAGUCUUUGAGGGUUGGUCUGUUCGACCAUUAAAAUUC
rnacentral:rRNA from 1 species